rnacentral:rRNA from 1 species
GAUCCUGGCUCAGGAUGAACGCUAGCUACAGGCUUAACACAUGCAAGUCGAACGAAGAGCGAUGGAAGCUUGCUUCUAUCAAUCUUAGUGGCGAACGGGUGAGUAACGCGUAAUCAACCUGCCCUUCAGAGGGGGGACAACAGUUGGAAACGACUGCUAAUACCGCAUACGAUCCAAUCUCGGCAUCGAGACUGGAUGAAAGGUGGCCUCUAUUUAUAAGCUAUCACUGAAGGG